CACCUCAAAAGCCGCCUGGUUUUCAAAGAUUGGAGUGCCAGUAACCUCUCUGAUGCCCCCAGGAACUGCAGUAGCAGUGGCAAAGGCAACCGUAGCGACAAGGCCGCCCAUGACCGAGCAGUUCUGAGAAGUCUUGGCCCAAGAUCAUGGCAAGGGUUUUUGGCUUCUAACAUUGCUGCUGCUGAGAGAUGAAUCGCAUUAUUCCCUGCAUUAUCCACUUGGCUGAACACGUCUCUGGUCAGUAUUUUUCUCUUCAGUAAGAGUUGGAGCACACAUAGUUGCCUGUUCCCUGCAGCUAACAAAACCGCGUUCUUUCCCUCUGCGUUAAUGUCCCGGAUGGCCACCGGAAAAAAUUCAAGGAUCUCCUCCACCAUUUCAAUCACACCAUUUUUUGCAGCAAUCAAAAAGGGUGUUUCCAACUUCCCCAUUUCGGGUGUUUCCAACGUCCCCAUUUCAAGGGUUUUCUCCUCUGUCUCUUCGGUAAAGCAGUAAUCAAAGUUACUGCAUGGGGACAUCCGACUCCUCCGAGCCCAAGGUGGCUUCGUCGAUGCCGAUGACCCUGUGUACAUUUCAUCAGAUAUAUCGUAUUUAUUUUUUGUGGCUUAAGCUCGAUUACUACGAUCCCACUAAAGCAGUUUUCCUUAAUAAACUUGAUUUUAGAAUCUAGGUUUGGAUAUCUAGUAUUAUUAGAAUAAUCACAUUGUCAGUCGUAUUACCGUCGUAAGGUAAGGCCUUGUGUCAUGCUUGACGCCUUUGAACCGAUGAUGCCGAUAGAUGUCGCAAGGCCUUGGUCCACCAUCCGUGCCGAAUUCGCGUAGAUUUAUGUUGGCGUUGCCUCAUCGUUGUGUUAAUGGGAUGGAUAUUUGUAUAGAUAUUCGGAAGCACGACUUGGUAAAUUUGUAUGAAUUUUAUGAAAUAAUGUCAUUUUAGAAAAUAAUCUUUGCAAAUUAGUGUUUCUUUAUUGUGUGUGUGUUUUUUUUCCACAAAUACCAUCGCGGUUGAUCACCUGGGCUGCCCGCUCUACUUUUGGUUCGGGUUAGAAUGACCCAACAGCAGAGAUGCCCAAUGGUAUCUAGGCAGCCACGCCGACUCCAUCGCUUCAUCAGUCCUGAACCUCAAUCUGCCUAGCGUAGUCAUAACGAAGACUGGACGGCGUUGUGGUAGCCCCAUCCCCCAUGUUGACGUCGCGGAGGCCGAUGCUAAUUCGGCGGUCGUUCACCUUCAGGUGACGUAGAACUCCUGGUCCAGGGUGGGAAGAAGGUCAAAGUGCGGGGGAUCUGUAGAUGCUUGUCCUCAAACCGGAUCACCCGCGUAACUCAACACAAGAUCAUGGUAGUUUACCACCCACUUCAUCGAUGAGCGGACGUCAACAGUCAACAGUCUGUUGACUCACGACAUGGGACACGUCAUUCGCACCAAGUGCUCAUGCUCGCCUCUAUCUAGAAGAUCACUCCCCAGGUGCAUGAGGCGAUGAUGCGAGAGAUCUCGAUAAGUGUACUUUUGUAAAAUUUUUUUUUUUUUUUUUUUUUACCUGUCUGUUUCAUGUCACUUCGAGAUCGACAUGAAAGAGCCAGGUAUGUCUGAAUACAUAAACCGGGAUCGGUAUAAAGAGUGAAACUACGAGCUGCACAUGUACUACCAGAUUUUUGCAUCUCCUGCUGAUGCUUUGACCGGUUCAUCCCUGGAGUUUGUGGAAAUGAUGGAUGAGUGGCACUGGCUCUACAGACAUUAUUAGAGUCCGAAUUUUUUGAUAAGUUUUUUUUUUUGUUUAAUUUCAUUUUAAAUUUAAUUAUUUUUUUAUUCACUGCUGAAAUUAAUGGCAAAUAAGAGUUAUCGGGUCGAGGAACGGCAUCAGAACGGUGGAAGUUGGGGCUUGGGAGGAUACACAGCCAAUUAUGGCAAUCAGGUGGCUAAUGAUAUUUAUGCAAGUGUUCCGUUAAAUAUUUUAAUUCUAAAUUUUAUUACACUUAAAAUUUCAAAAUUAUGAUCGAUAAUCUUAAUUGGUUUCUUUUUUUUUCCAGGUUUCUGUGUUGUAGAAAAAUGACGAGUACUUGGCCAACCUUUCCCAACAACAACUGGACGCGCCAAUAGAGUAGCUGACACUUGAUCUAGAUAUGUCUCCAUGGUUGUUGAUGGAUGAGAAUGGGCGGGGAAUGGUAAAGAGAUCUGCGGUCUAGGAGAGGGUUGAGUUCAAGACAUCGGAGGAUCUCUUUCAUCUAGCUCUCAACCUCCAAGUAUAACAUCUUCUAGAUUUUAGGGGAGACGAACCACGCUGGCGAGGAUAAGCUCAAGAAAAAGUUGGGGCCCAAGCAAGAGGAAAAGUUUCGGCAAUACAUUGUUGAGAUGAGGCUGUGUCACAUCCUAUCCCAAAUUUAAUCGUAUUUUAUUCCUUGACACGAGAAAAUUACAAGAAUACCUCUAACGAGUUAAGUGGAUAUCCUAGAGGGAAAUCCUAUGUGGACAUCUGAGUCAUUGUCAAUCUCUGUCCCGUUUCACGUCUUUCUAGGCAUUACAUGUUGUUACGAACAUAUGAGCAUGAUCAAGAAGUAAAACGAACGAAUUACGCACAUUUUUUUAAUGAGAGGCAAAAUAGUAAUUUUUCAUUCUCGAAAAUCUAUUACUUGUUUUUCAAGACAACAUUGGGUUGCCCUUUUGCGAGCAGCAGAUUGUGAUAUAGUUGGCAUAUUCGUUGGACUUGUUACACAAGUCAGCAAGUGGGUCCGUUUACAUUAGUAUUUUAUUACUUAAGCCUCACAUCUAAUUAAUUAUUGUUUGGGCAUGAUACAAAGAUACGCACAAACUGACGAAUACUCGAGGACAUCAACGCGUGGAUGUAAUAGAAAUGAAAUUCAAAGCUACAACCAAAAUUUUGCAGGAAACGGUGAUUCAAGUGCAAAUCGGUAAUUUCAAGUUAUUGAAAUUAUUGUGCAUGUUCUGAAGUAAGAGGGUGUGCCAAGUGGGCCCUCCCCCUCACCACACCCACGUGUCUCUCUCCCUCUUUCGGGUGCACUCUCACCUCUCUCGGACUCUCCGUCGCUUACCCUUAUCUCACUCACCUAUUCUCUAGUCUCUCCCUUCUCUCUCUUUCCCCUAACCUCUGCAACUCUUCCCUCUCUGUUUUGCACAGAAAACACAGACGGCGCCCCGCGCUGUUUCCUGUCGAAACCUGAGCCACCCAAACCUCCAUCUCUCUUCCUCUCGCCCCUCCUCGAGUCCUAGAAUUUCAGAAAAAAUGUUGGACUCAAACAGAGACCGACAUGCCCACGAAAUUAGGUGUGAACUCGAGGGAAAACUCCGGCUAAAUUCUGCCGUUCACGGCCAAGUUAAGCCUCGGGGACACCGUCUUUCUCUUCCUUUUGAUGUUCUGAUGCGAUUGCUGAGUCUGCAUACAUGAUUUGGUAGAGUUUUGGUGCAGAUGUAACUUGGUAAAUCCUUAUCUUCCUUUUCCCCAGCUUCAUUUCCAUAGGUAGAUUGUGUGAUUUGGUUGUGAAAUGAGCUCGAAACGAGCUCUGGAAUAGGACCCCAGAUUCUGGCCGUUCACAGGCCUCACGAGGUUAUGCCUGUACUCUCAGGAGCGUGAAAGACGGGGUCGUGGGUCACACGCGCCUCCCAGCGGAGGUACUAUGCUCUGCCACCGGGCAAGGCAGAGUCCGGCCAAACUCGGUGCGUGGCGGUGAAAUAGCAGUGUUCAAAUUUUGAGGGUAUCUUUUAGAAUUUUAUUAUUUUAAAAGUUUCUUUUAAUUAGGAUUAGCACACUAGGGUUGGAAGUAGUUAAGCAACUAUAGAUUCACUAUUAGGGUUGUUACGAUGGGUCACCAUAAAUUCUAAUUAAGCAAGUGAAAUAGCUGUUACCUUCUGGGAGCAUGAAGAUGGCGCGGCCGUCAACAAGUUCAUAAGGUGUGGUCUCAUCAUUGUCUUUUUUCUUUCUGGGAAGGUGCUGCGGUGACCUGCGGAAUCAUACCACUGUCUUCAUACUCAUACAUGGCAGCUAGUCUUAACAAUUCGUUCAUGAUCUGAACAGACCAUUUGUGUUUUUCUUUCUUAUCCCUUAUCUUUCUUAUCUGCGUAGACCCUUUAAACAACAUAUGAUGAUUAGAUAAAGAAAAUUAUGUAUCUAAAUAAGAGAGAUUAGGAGAUAAAAUGAAAAGUGGCUUUAUUACCUGAUCCAAAAACAAUCAUCAUUGCCUUUGAUCAAAUCUUGACAAACUCAAAGCAGGUGUUGUAGUUUACGGGAAACUUUUGGUAUCCUUGACCUUGAUCAACAUUGGAUUUUGACCCUGCAUAUGUUAAAGGUAAUAAUCUGCCGUCUUUUUGUAUGUCUAGUUUUGUAAUUUGCGUUUUGAUUUAAACUCUAAUCUGUUGUCACAUAUAUGGCAGAGAUGAAUUGUAA